CCUGGAAGAUAUAACCUACGCAAGGAAAAUCUUGAAGAAAAAGAGCCCUAGAAAACCUAGCAACCUUCAUUUUCUUCUUCAUGUGGACACAAUAAUGAAACCCUAGCACACUACAACAAGAACCUGACCAGCCGUCACCUUCAGCAACGGACCAGCCACGCCAAACGACCUUAAACCCAGCAGCCUUCUCCAACCUACCAAACAAAAACCAUAACCCAUCUUCUUCUUCAAUGCAGGAGACAACACAAAGACCUAACUAAGCAGCUGUCGGCUACCACCACAAAACCGCCGGAAAUCAGCAACCUAACCCCAUGUAACCUAAGCAGCGAGACCACAACCCUAAGCCAUCGAGACCUAGACACUGAACCAAACGGCGCCCCUUGAUCGAUUCCACUGCCAGAGUAUUCUCCAGCCGCCGAACCACCUGUAGCCGCCGCCUGCACUCACAGCAGCAACCAAAAAUGACCCCCUCCAUUAUAUUCUUCUUUAUCAAGUUUUGAAUUAGCUACGAUUUAUGUUCAAUACCAUCGUUGCACAAUCGCAAUCGAAGUUUGAGUUCCGAAAAAUCCGGCAAGGUUCAGUCAUUCUUUCAAUACAUCGAGGUCGUUCGAGGUUCCAGUUGCGUCGUAUUUUUGUUCGAGUCAUUGUCUGUUAUUCGAGCUUCGAAACAGAAUUGCGAAGACUUAAGCUCGUUGAUACACUGUCCAAGGUAUGGAUUCAUUUACCACAGUUUGAGCAUGACAAAUACCCCAAGACCAUUCUAGUUAAGACCAUUGCAUGCACGAGCUGCUUGAGCAAACUUUUUAUUUUUUAGUCUAUUUUAUGGUGUCUUUUAAUUAUUAUGCUUGUACAGUAGUAUCGAGUCUGUCAGUCUAAUUAAGAUUUUUGAGUCUUUUGUUAUAGUACUUCCUGUUUUGUAUUUGAAAAAAAAAGUUAUAAAUGAAAUUCAAAAAGAUUUUUGAUUCUUA